UACAGGUCACCCACGGAGGCAGGUUAGUGGACUGGUUCUAAUUAUAACGAACAGCGUGAUCGUAAAAGGUACGUGCAUGCACAUGUGACCGCCUCAUUAUUAUUACUUGCAGAGCCACAGAAUGAUUUCUGUGCUUACAGUGCUCACGCGUUAUCACGCAUAUCCUUUGUGAGCCAUCACGCUCGCCAGGCAUCGAUGUGACCAGAGAUCAACUGCGCCAUUGUAUAGUUGACGUCCAUUCACGACGCUUUUCAAAUAAUAAUAAUUAACAGCAGCCACACAUUAGGAAACUUCAUAAAUAUUUCGAUCUUCUCUAAAGAUGCAGAAAACGCGCCGCAAGCAUACCCAAUACUACCAAUGCAAUCUUUUCUGAAGCUUCGCAUACCCUGCAUUUUUUUUUUUUUUUUGCGGGAGGCUAUUUCUUUUUAUCGCGCGGGUUCUUUCCGGCAAUAUUUUUGGAAGUGUGCAUCGGCAGAAUUUCACUGGUGGCAUUAACCCUUUCGUGUUUACAUUGAUGUUGUGACAGUUAACAACACAAUAAUUUCCAGUCAUUCGAAGAGGCGCCGUCGGAAACAAGAGACGUUUCGCGCGCAGCGCGAGCUAAGCGCGGGCGCGACCUUGACGGGAAGCAGCGAAAACGUACACCUGUGGGAGGUGAAAUCAUUCCGCCGGGAGAGAAGCGAGCACCAUGCGAGUGCUGGCCUCUAGGAUGAAACUUGGCCUGCGAAAAAGGCGCGAAGGCGAGCGUUUCGCGCGUUUAUUGUGAGUGCGGAGGCGCCAUUUUCAGUUGUCACUACGGCUGCGCAAGGUGGUCAAGACUGUUGUUUCUUUCUCCUGAGCUCCUGGCCGGGUUGGCCCCGCAGUAAAGAUUCUGAGUGACAAAAGGGUGUGAAAUAGAAGGCAUCAAGGCAUCAGUGGGCAUUUUGUCUUCACUGAGUACUUCAAUGAGUGAAGGGCAGCCAGUCCACUGCAGUCUUUCUUUCUCGCAAGUCAUGGCUGCAUGCUUCUGAACGGCCUUUUUUGUGUGUAUCGAUCUUAAUAGAUUUGCUGUUGACAUG